AUGGGGGGUGGUUCCGAAGAUUACGUCGAUGUUACGGGCAUAAGUGCUAACUUCGCUGGAGCGGACGCAGCUAUUGCCACGUGUACUCGGCCAUGGAGAAGCAGUCUUCGUGCGAUGCAUCCAGAGAAAAUAAAGGCGUACGUGACGCCGGAAGUCCACGAAGAAACAACAGACACAAGUGCUACGACCGUUGUUGGUGUUGAUGCAAAGCUGGACAAAUAUACAGUGAACACUGACGCAUCGGAAGAGGCUGGUGCAUCAUCGACCUGUGCGGCUAGCUUGAGACACGCUGGAGAGUGUUCUGAAAAUAGGACCAGCUCGAUGGUAUCCGGUGGUCAGUACGCAGUAACGACGGCAUGCAGCCCAUCACGCAGCAGGCGUGAAAGCCAUGAAGCAAGUGGGCCUGGUGGUUCACGUGGUGGUGAGCUAGGCUCUUCACCAGGAGGUUUUCAACCAGGCAUUAGCAGCAUGCCAUAUGGGUUAAAGCGUGCUGCACGAGGCGUUGCACCUGAGGAGCAGCUGCCAGCCGAGGCUCUGACCUCUGAAGGUGGCAAUGAAGAGCUGGUGAGAGGGAAGCUCAAACAUCAUAGGAAGAACUACCAUGCUAGCACUCCUAGGAAAAGUCCUAGGUUUGAACACAAGCUUGAUUGUCGUAACGGGCCUGUCGAAGAGCUGCCAGCCGAGGCACUGAUUUCUGAAGGUGGCGAUGCGGAGUUGGUGAGAGGGAAGGUGAAACGUCCUAAGAAGAACUACCAUACCGGCACUCCUCGGACAAGUCCUAGGUUUGAACCAAAGCAUGAAUAUCAUAACGGGCCUGUGGAAGAGCUGCCAGCCGAGGCACUGAUCUCUGAAGUUGGCGACGCGGAGCUGGUGAGAGGGAAGCUGAAACAUCCUAGGAAGAACUACCCUGUUGGCACUCCUCGGAGAAGUCCUAGGUUUGAACCGAAGCAUGAAUGUCAUAACGGAUCCGUGGAAGAAAUGCCAGCCGAGGUUCUGACCUCUGAAGGUAGUGAUGCUGAGCUGGUGAGAGGGGAAGUGAAACAUUCUAGGAAGAACUUCCAUACCGGUACUCCUCGGACAAGUCCUAGGUUUGAAACAAAGCAUGGAUGUUGUAACGGGUCUGUGGAAGAGCUGCCAGCUGAGGCUCUGACCUCUGAUGGUGCUGAUGCAGAGCUGGUGAGGGGGAAGGUGAAACAUGCUAGGAAGGAUUACCAUACUGGCACUUCUAGGACAAGUCCUAGGUUUCAACUGAAGCGUGAACGGCGCAAGGGGCCCAUGGAAGAACUGGCAGCCGAUCACAAGAGGUUCCGCACACUAGAAGAAUUAAUUGCCUCUCCUGACAAUGCAGAAUCUGCGAAGACCCCCUCUACCGACUCUCUGAACUAA
rnacentral:rRNA from 1 species